CGGCCUGCUGUCGCUGUCUCGUGUUUUUGUUUUCAUUUACAGGUCUGUAAAACUACAGAAAAGCAUAGAUUUACAUUUAAAAUCAUUUUUGGUUGGUAAUGACGUGUAUUCCGCCGGUUGUUUCACUGGCAAAUGUAUUGCGUUCGUCUUGAACGUGAGGCGGCCGUAUAGAAGAGCUAAGUUAGCUAGGUUAGCUUAGCCUACCAAUACCAAUGACUGUUUUGGCACCUGUUUAGACCUCUUCCGCCAAAUCUGGGCUCAUACUAUGUUAAGAUCUGUUAGAAAAUGUUUUUUUAAUUAAUGCUUUCACCAAGCUAAACAUUUUGCUUUAGAUGAAGCAGACUUACUGACACACCAAGUAAUAUAUUGAUUUAUGUUUAUGCAUAGUGGUGCAAUAGUUUAUGCCUUGUGACACCCUGUGUCUGUGAAUAACUUGGAGGGAGCUACAUGUGUCUGCAUACUCACGUUUAGACGCACACACAGCUAACGUUGCUGUUGAUGGUUACUUUUUGUACCUGUGGAAAGUUAGCUAACUUAAGCAUAACUGUUUCCCAACUGGCUUUCUAGUUGAUGUCAAGAAGUUGAUAAAAGUAAAAAAUGGAGAGAACUAGUAGGGUGUCUGUUUCACAGAAGCAAACAGAAAGGAGGCUAGAACAACUGGUGGAGGACCUGCACCUCCACCACUGACGCAUGCAGAGGAGAUGGCCCCUUAGCCUGAACACUGGAAAGCAGAGGCUGAAGGAAUUCCUGGAGGGAGUUUAUCAGAACCAGUCACUCCCCAGGAUACAAGUGCAUUUGUAAAAUUUACCGGUUAAGGAGUUGUAUAAACUAAAUCUCAAGGAAAUGUUAUACUUGGACAACCAGAUUGAAAGGACAGAUCUAGAAAUUGAAAUUCUCAAACAAAAGCUGGAGGUGAGUGUAUAGUUAAAGGUGAAUUGUAUGAAUUAUUGGAAGAAUCAUAAAAUCUAAUAAUUACCUUUUGUAUUUGUAGGAAAUGACGAAAACCAAAUCAAUUAUGAUUUGCAUUAUCUUUUAUUGGUGGUGGUGAUGGUUGAUUAAGACAUUACGGCAAAUCCCAUCUCUGACUGUGCAUCCACCCUGCAGAUUAUCGUGAUAGAGGGAGUCUUCCUCAGGGUCUUGUAUUUGUAGGGCAGGGUGUUGCUCCUCUCUAAUAAUUGCAAUAUUUUGGCAAGCAACACAUGUCACAAUAAUGUCACAGGCCUCUCAGGUAUUAACCUCAGGUGACGUAGGCACUGAAGACGUGCUUUCAACAGGCCUAUGAUCAUUUCCACCCGGGCUCUUGUUCUGCAGUGUGCUACAUUAAAGCACUGCUGGGGGCCUGCUGAGUAAGUUGCGUUUUGAUUACCUCGCUUCUUGAAACGGGUUUAAACUUACCCCGCUUUACGAGUUUAAGUUACCUCCCUUUCUGAAACCGAAAACUGAGUUUUCAACAAAACCUCCUUCUUGAAACGGGCCCCUGGUCCCUACCUAUUCUGUAAUGUUGAAAUGUUGGUGUGUUUUUUGUUUUCUGUUAAUGUUGUGUUUUUUGUUAAUGUCGUUGUGUUUCCUGUUAAUGGUGUCGUGUUUUGUCUUUUUGUUUGUUUGUGACUUGCACUUCAGGGCCACCGUAUGAUUCAAACUCUACAUUUAUUUACAUUAGUAUGUGAAGGACUAAUCAAUUUACUGACCUGUGAAAUGGGUGGGUAAUGUCAAAGACUAAAUGAUCCUUCAGACUCCUCAAGCUGCUGCCCAGCAGUAACAAACAGCAACCUGUUUAAUGUACUGUACAUAACUGUCGUAAUGUGCUGUGUUUGUGUACAGUAUGUGUGAGUGCUGUUUGGUGUAGACACAGAAAAGUGAAGGAGCUGAAAGCUGCUGGUCACAGAGCAGCAUGCCUGUGUAUAUGAAAUUAACAUUGGUUGUCCUUGAGGGCUUCCUGAUUCAAUCACACGCCUGAUGACGUCAUGCAGGGUUUUAAGUCAUAUUUCGGAUUAGUGAGUGAGUGAGAGAGAGAGGUAGAGAGGCAGGAUGAGUCACUGCCUCAUUGAUGACUGUCUCCACUGAGUGGUCAGAUACUUCAGGUACGAAUAGAGACACAGGCACAGCAUGACCGCCUAAUGGCACUCAAAUAAAAUGACUUAUUGGGAACUUGCAAAAUACAUCUUUUAAGAAGAUUAAAUAGUGCUGAUGCACCCUCCCUUUUCCUCUUCACCAUGAGGCUGGUGCUAAACAAUAAUGAAUCCUGCUCUAGUUUAUUUAUGAUCAGAUAUUUAAAUAGCAUAUCUGUGCUACCAUCUGAUGGACUUAUUCUUGGCUGCGUUAUAUUAUGGAGGGAUUCAGGAAAAAUGACCAUGUCCAGCUAAUACAUCAAACACCUCCAAUACUUUCAUUCAGGUCAAAUGCUUUGAUAUGACAGAAAUGUAUACAGCCCUGCAGUCAGACGUAUUAAGUAACUAAGUGCUGUAGCUAAGUACCACACUUUUUAUUUGACCUUUGUAUUUUACUCAGUUGCCUUGGUGCAAACAUCAGAUACUAUAAUCUUUAGAGAACUUCACUUUUAGUUUCCAUCCAAAUAUACAGACUUCAUGUAGGGCAUGGCCCCCAUUAAGCUCCACAACUUGAACUGAACUCAGUACAGGCCUGUUAAGCUAACAGUAACUGUCCUUACAUGUUUAUCUUUUAUUUUGAUUAAAACAUUUGUUCCCCAAAUUGUAAUGUAGGUAUGAAGAGUAGGUAACAAGAGAGUAAUUCUUGUUAAUACGGGUCAAGAAACCUGGUGUUACCAAAAGGUAGCAAUAAACUACUAAUGGUUUGGUAUUAAAAUUGAAACACAUUCGUAGGACUCCCUCUUGUGUUAAAAACUAGCAACUGCUUGUUUUCGUACUGUAUGACGUAAUAGACAAUUUGGACAAGACUGAGAACAACAAUACACACAUACACGACCAGUGUGCAAAAAUAUAACAAAUUUUAUAAUCUAUCUCGACGUGUGAAAACAGCCCAUUCGCAACAACAAAUAAGGCUCCAAAAGGUUUGCGCCUCAGUGGCAGAAAACAAACAAGUAAAUAAAUGUGAUCACAUGUCAAAAGACAAGGAAAUCACAUCCUGAGACCUGAUCAAGGCCUCUUUCUGCACCCCGAUAGGAGUCUGCAAGUCCGACACCUAAAAGUUCAGCACAUCAAUGUCGGAUGCUCCAAACGUGGCUUCCACUUUCACCUUCUCAUGCAUGUGGAACUGAACCUUCUUGUUGGUCAUGGCAAGGAGA